rnacentral:rRNA from 1 species
GAUGAACGCUGGCGGCGUGCUUAACACAUGCCAGUCGAACGAUGAAGCUCAGCUUGCUGGGUGGAUUAGUGGCGAACGGGUGAGUAACACGUGAGUAACCUGCCCUUAACUCUGGGAUAAGCCUGGGAAACUGGGUCUAAUACCGGAUAGGAGCGUCCACCGCAUGGUGGGUGUUGGAAAGAUUUAUCGGUUUUGGAUGGACUCGCGGCCUAUCAGCUUGUUGGUGAGGUAAUGGCUCACCAAGGCGACGACGGGUAGCCGGCCUGAGAGGGUGACCGGCCACACUGGGACUGAGACACGGCCCAGACUCCUACGGGAGGCAGCAGUGGGGAAUAUUGCACAAUGGGCGCAAGCCUGAUGCAGCGACGCCGCGUGAGGGAUGACGGCCUUCGGGUUGUAAACCUCUUUCAGUAGGGAAGAAGCGAAAGUGACGGUACCUGCAGAAGAAGCACCGGCUAACUACGUG